rnacentral:rRNA from 1 species
ACCCGCUGAACUUAAGCAUAUCAAUAAGCGGAGGACAAGAAACCAACUGGGAUUGCCUCAGUAACGGCGAGUGAAGCGGCAACAGCUCAAAUUUGAAAUCUGGCUCCCUCGGGGUCCGAGUUGUAAUUUGUAGAGGAUGCUUCGGGCGCGGCGCUGGUCCAAGUUCCUUGGAACAGGACGUCAGAGAGGGUGAGAAUCCCGUACGUGACUGUGCGCCGCCCGUCCGUGUGAAGCUCCUUCGACGAGUCGAGUUGUUUGGGAAUGCAGCUCCAAGUGGGUGGUAAAUUUCAUCUAAAGCUAAAUAUGGGCCAGAGACCGAUAGCGCACAAGUAGAGUGAUCGAAAGAUGAAAAGCACUUUGGAAAGAGAGUUAAACAGCACGUGAAAUUGUUGAAAGGGAAGCGCUUGCAACCAGACUUGUGCGCAGCCGAUCAUCCGGGGUUCUCCCCGCUGCACUCGGUUGCGCUCAGGCCAGCAUCGGUUUGGGUGGUCGGACAAAGGUCGUGGGAAUGUGGCUUCCUUCGGGGAGUGUUAUAGCCCGCGGCGGCAUGCGACCUACCUGGACCGAGGAACGCGCUCCGGCUAGGAUGCUGGCGUAAUGGUUGUAAGCGACCCGUCUUGAAACACGGACCAAGGAGUCUAAUAUUUAUGCGAGUAUUUGGGUGUCAAACCCGGGUGCGCAAUGAAAGUGAACGGAGGUGAGAACCCGCGAGGGUGCAUCAUCGACCGAUCCUGAUGUCUUCGGAUGGAUUUGAGUAAGAGCAUAGCUAUUGGGACCCGAAAAAGAGUGAACUUUACGUGAAUAGGGUGAAGUCAGAGGAAACUCUGAUGGAGGCUCGCAGCGGUUCUGACGUGCAAAUCGAUCGUCAAAUUUGCGUAAAGGGGCG